rnacentral:rRNA from 1 species
UACAGAGGGGGCAAGCGUUGUUCGGAAUUACUGGGCGUAAAGGGCGCGUAGGCGGCCUGCUAAGUCGAACGUGAAAUCCCCAGGCUCAACCCGGGAACUGCGUCCGAUACUGGCAGGCUUGAAUCCGGGAGAGGGAUGUGGAAUUCCAGGUGUAGCGGUGAAAUGCGUAGAUAUCUGGAGGAAUACCGGUGGCGAAGGCGGCAUCCUGGACCGGCAUUAACGCUGAGGAGCGAAAGCCAGGGGAGCAAACGGG